CCCUCAGCUCACUUAUUUACCGAUCUGAAUCGACCAGAACUAAUCCUUUACAGAAUGUGAUCAAUUCGAUUAUUUGCUGGUUGUUUGCUAAUCUAUAAUAUGGGAUAUCGUACGAAUACCGACGUUAUUGAUAUGAUUCUAAAAUACACAGACGGUUACCUUAUAGCUGUUGGCCAACUCAACCAAGGCUGUCUUCCAGUUAUGUUAUAGCUAUACUUCAUGUGGGUAAAUAACCCAUGAUCUGCAUACAGC
rnacentral:lncRNA from 1 species